UGAGGAAUAUUGGUCAAUGGGCGGGAGCCUGAACCAGCCAAGUCGCGUGAAGGAAGAAGGAUCUAUGGUUUGUAAACUUCUUUUGCAGGGGAAUAAAGUGCAGGACGUGUCCUGUUUUGUAUGUACCCUGAGAAUAAGGAUCGGCUAACUCCGUGCCAGCAGCCGCGGUAAUACGGAGGAUCCGAGCGUUAUCCGGAUUUAUUGGGUUUAAAGGGUGCGUAGGUGGUUUGAUAAGUCAGGGGUGAAAGUUUGCAGCUUAACUGUAAAAAUGCCGUUGAAACUGUCGGACUUGAGUGUAAAUGAGGUAGGCGGAAUGCGUGGUGUAGCGGUGAAAUGCAUAGAUAUCACGCAGAACUCCGAUUGCGAAGGCAGCUUACUAAGCUACAACUGACACUGAAGCACGAAAGCGUGGGGAUCAAACA
rnacentral:rRNA from 1 species